rnacentral:rRNA from 1 species
CUCCUGGAAACGGGUGGUAAUGCCGGAUGCUCCGCCCCCUCGCAUGGGCGGCCGGGAAGGCUUUUGCGGAAUGGGAUGGGGUCGCGUCCUAUCAGCUUGAUGGCGGGGCGACGGCCCACCGAGGCUUCGACGGGUAGCCGGCCUGAGAGGGCGACCGGCCACAUUGGAACUGAGAUACGGCCCAGACUCCUACGGGAGGCAGCAGUGGGGAAUAUUGCACAAUGGGGGGAACCCUGAUGCAGCGACGCCGCGUGCGGGAUGGAGGCCUUCGGGUCGUGAACCGCUUUUGAUUGGGAGCAAGCGUGAGUGAGUGUACCUUUCGAAUAAGCACCGGCUAACUACGUGCCAGCAGCCGCGGUAAUACGUAGGGUGCAAGCGUUGUCCGGAAUCAUUGGGCGUAAAGGGCUCGUAGGCGGUUCGUCGCGUCCGGUGUGAAAGCCCAUCGCUUAACGGUGGAUCUGCGCCGGGUACGGGCGGGCUUGAGUGCGGCAGGGGAAACUGGAAUUCCCGGUGUAACGGUGGAAUGUGUAGAUAUCGGGAAGAACACC